rnacentral:rRNA from 1 species
UACGGAGGGAGCGAGCGUUGUUCGGAAUUACUGGGCGUAAAGCGUGCGCAGGCGGAUUUUCAAGUCAGAAGUGAAAUCCCAGGGCUCAACCCUGGAAUUGCUUUUGAAACUGGAUAUCUUGAGUCUCGGAGAGGUUGGCGGAAUUCCCAGUGUAGCAGUGAAAUGCGUAGAUAUUGGGAGGAACACCAGUGGCGUAAGCGGCCAACUGGACGAGUACUGACGCUCAUGCACGAAAGUGUGGGGAUCAAGCAGG